rnacentral:rRNA from 1 species
CCUACGGGAGGCAGCAGUGGGGAAUAUUGCACAAUGGGGGAAACCCUGAUGCAGUGACGCCGCGUGAGUGAAGAAGUAAUUCGUUAUGUAAAGCUCUAUCAGCAGGGAAGAAAAUGACGGUACCUGAGUAAGAAGCCCCGGCUAACUACGUGCCAGCAGCCGCGGUAAUACGUAGGGGGCAAGCGUUAUCCGGAUUUACUGGGUGUAAAGGGAGCGUAGACGGCAGUGCAAGUCUGGAGUGAAAGGGGGGGGCUCAACCCCCGGACUGCUCUGGAAACUGUACGGCUGGAGUGCAGGAGAGGUAAGUGGAAUUCCUAGUGUAGCGGUGAAAUGCGUAGAUAUUAGGAGGAACACCAGUGGCGAAGGCGGCUUACUGGACUGUAACUGACGUUGAGGCUCGAAAGCGUGGGGAGCAAACAGGAUUAGAUACCCUAGUAGUC